GGAAUGUAGCGCAAGGACGAGCAUCUUGUGACUCUCUUAUUUCCUGGCUAGGUUCUGUAGCUGGGGAUGUUGGUAUUGUUGUUGUCGGGUUGCAAGAAGUUGAAAUGGGUGCUGGUGUUCUUGCAAUGUCUGCAGCAAAAGAAACCGUAGGACUUGAGGGUAGUUCAGUUGGGCAGUGGUGGAUAGAUAUGAUAGACAAAACAUUGGAUGAAGGGCCAUCAUUUGAACGUGUUGGUUCUCGGCAAUUAGCAGGCUUACUCAUUGCUGUAUGGAUUAGAAAUAAUCUUAAAGCUCAUGUUGGGGAUGUUGAUGCUGCUGCAGUUCCAUGUGGCUUUGGGCGUGCAAUUGGUAAUAAGGGAGCUGUUGGUUUGAGGAUCAGAGUAUAUAAUCGAAUAAUUUGCUUUAUAAAUUGCCACUUUGCGGCACAUGUGGAGGCAGUUAAUCGUCGUAAUGCUGACUUUGACCAUGUAUAUCGAACAAUGACUUUUGGUCGACCUUCUAAUCUCUUCAAUGCUGCAGCUGCUGGUUCUUCAUCAGCGGUCCAAAUGCUUCGUACUACAAAUGUUAUGGGUGCC
rnacentral:misc_RNA from 1 species